GGAGAUUUAGCUCAGUGGUAGAGCGCUUGCCUAGUAAGUGCAAGGCCCUGGGUUUGGUCCCCAGCUCCA
rfam:Rattus norvegicus chromosome X, whole genome shotgun sequence.